CACGUAGGCUCCAAGCGUUGUCCGGAUUUAUUGGGCGUAAAGAGCUCGUAGGCGGUUGAGUAAGUCGGGUGUGAAAACUCUGGCUUAACCCGGAGACGCCAUCCGAUACUGCUCUGACUAGAGUUCAGGAGGGGAGUGGGGAAUUCCGUAGUGAUAGCGGUGAAAGUGCGCAGAUAUUAGGAGGAACACCGGUGGCGAAGGCGCCACUCUGGACUGAAA
rnacentral:rRNA from 1 species